AGAGUUUGAUCCUGGCUCAGAACGAACGCUGGCGGCGCGCCUAAUACAUGCAAGUCGAGCGAGAAGGUGUAGCAAUACACUUGUAAAGCGGCGAACGGGUGAGGAAUACAUGGGUAAUCUACCAUCGAGUGGGGAAUAACCAACCGAAAGGUUGGCUAAUACCGCGUACGCCUCCGAGUCUUCGGGUUCGGAGGGAAAGCUGCACUGUGAGUGUAGCGCUCUUUGAUGAGCUCAUGUCCUAUCAGCUUGUUGGUAGGGUAACGGCCUACCAAGGCUUUGACGGGUAGCUGGUCUGAGAGGACGAUCAGCCACACUGGCACUGCGACACGGGCCAGACUCCUACGGGAGGCAGCAGUAAGGAAUAUUGCGCAAUGGGCGAAAGCCUGACGCAGCGACGCCGCGUGGGGGAUGAAGGUCUUCGGAUUGUAAACCCCUUUCGGGAGGGAAGAUGGAGCGAGCAAUCGUUCGGACGGUACCUCCAGAAGCAGCCACGGCCAACUUCGUGCCAGCAGCCGCGGUAAUACGAAGGUGGCAAGCGUUGUUCGGAUUCACUGGGCGUACAGGGUGUGUAGGCGGUUUGGUAAGCCUUCUGUUAAAGCUUCGGGCCCAACCCGGAAAGCGCAGAGGGUACUGCCAGGCUAGAGGGUGGGAGAGGAGCGCGGAAUUCCCGGUGUAGCGGUGAAAUGCGUAGAGAUCGGGAGGAAGGCCGGUGGCGAAGGCGGCGCUCUGGAACAUACCUGACGCUGAGACACGAAAGCGUGGGGAGCAAACAGGAUUAGAUACCCU
rnacentral:rRNA from 1 species